rnacentral:rRNA from 1 species
AAUCAACGCUGGCGGCGUGCCUAACACAUGCAAGUCGAGCGAGAAAAGGGGGGCAACUCCCUGAGUACAGCGGCGCACGGGUGAGUAACACGUGGGUAAUCUGCCCUGGAGCGGGGAAUAACACCGGGAAACCGGUGCUAAUACCGCAUACGAUCACGAGGUCUGCGGAUUUUGUGAUGAAAGGAGCAAUUCGUUCUAGGAGGAGCCCGCGGCUGAUUAGCUAGUUGGUGAGGUAAUGGCUCACCAAGGCAACGAUCAGUAGCCGGUCUGAGAGGACGGUCGGCCACACUGGAACUGAGACACGGUCCAGACUCCUACGGGAGGCAGCAGUGGGGAAUUUUUGGCAAUGGGGGAAACCCUGACCAAGCAACGCCGCGUGGGUGAUGAAGUCUCUUGGGACGUAAAACCCUUUCGACGGGGAAGAAAACCGCAAGGUUUGACGGUACCCGUAGAAGAAGCCCCGGCUAACUCCGUGCCAGCCGCCGCGGUAAUAC